AAAAUGUGUGUCUGUAGGGGAAGGUGUCUGUCUGUAGUUGAAGAUGUAUGUAGGGAAAGGUGUCUGUCGGAAGGGGAAGGUGUGUGUCUACAGGGGAAGGUGUGUGUCUGUAGGGGAAGGUGUGUGUCUAUAGGGGAAGGUGUGUGUCUGUGGGGGAAGGUGUGUGUCUGUAGGGGAAGGUGUGUGUCUGUGGGGAAGGUGUCUGUCUGUAGAGGAAGGUGUCUGUAGGGGAAGGUGUCUGUCUGUAGGGGAAGGUGUCUGUAGGGGAAGGUGUCUGUCUGUAGGGGAAGGUGUCUGUGGGGAAGGUGUGUGUCUGUGGGGAAGGUGUGUGUCUACAGGGGAAGGUGUGUGUCUGUGGGGAAGGUGUGUGUCUGUAGGGGAAGGUGUGUGUCUGUAGGUGAAGAUGUGUGUCUGUAGGGGAAGGUGUGUGUCUGUAGGGGAAGGUGUGUGUCUGUAGGGGAAGGUGUCUGUCUGUAGGGGAAGGUGUGUGUCUGUAGGGGAAGGUGUGUGUCUGUAGAGGAAAGUGUGUGUCUGUAGGGGAAGGUGUGUGUAAGUCAGGUGAGUAAUGUGAGUGGCAGCUAGCCUAUCUCUCCUCCUCCUCUGUGGUAGCUACAUCACCAUUAUCCCUCCUCUCCUCCCCCUCUGUGGUAGCUACAACACCAUUAUCCCUCCUCUCCUCCCCCUCUGAAGUAGCUACAACAUCAUUAUCCCUGCUCUCCUCCCCCUCUGUGGUAGCUACAACAUAAUUUUGCCUCCUCUCCUCCUCCUCUGAAGUAGCUACAACAUCAUUAUCCCUGCUCUCCUCCCCCUCUGUGGUAGCUACAACAUCAUUAUCCCUCCUCUCCUCCUCCUCUGUGGUAGCUACAACAUCAUUUUGCCUCCUCUCCUCCCCC
ensembl:lncRNA